UACGAGGGGGGCAAGCGUUGUUCGGAAUUACUGGGCGUAAAGCGCACGUAGGCGGCUUUGUAAGUUAGAGGUGAAAGCCCGGGGCUCAACCCCGGAACUGCCUUUAAGACUGCAUCGCUUGAAUCCAGGAGAGGUGAGUGGAAUUCCGAGUGUAGAGGUGAAAUUCGUAGAUAUUCGGAAGAACACCAGUGGCGAAGGCGGCUCACUGGCCUGGUAUUGACGCUGAGGUGCGAAAGCGUGGGGAGCAAACAGG
rnacentral:rRNA from 1 species